rnacentral:rRNA from 1 species
UACGUAGGUGGCAAGCGUUGUCCGGAUUUACUGGGCGUAAAGGGCGUGCAGGCGGUUUGUUAAGUGCAGGGUGAAAGCUCCCGGCUCAACUGGGAGAGGUCCUUGCAUACUGGCGAACUCGAGGGAGGCAGAGGAAAGUGGAAUUCCCGGUGUAGUGGUGGAAUGCGUAGAUAUCGGGAGGAACACCAGUGGCGAAGGCGGCUUCCUGGACCGGUUCUGACACUGAGGAGCGAAAGCGUGGGGAGCGAUCCGG